rnacentral:rRNA from 1 species
UGACGAUUACUGACUGAGUGGCGGACGGGUGAGUAACGCGUGGGUAACCUGCCUUGUACAGGGGGACAACAGUUGGAACGACUGCUAAUACCGCAUAAGCGCACAGCUUCGCAUGAAGCAGUGUGAAAAGUAUUUCGGUACAAGAUGGACCCGCGUCUGAUUAGCUAGUUGGUGAGGUAACGGCCCACCCAAGGCGACGAUCAGUAGCCGACCUCGAGAGGGUGACCGGCCACAUUGGGACUGAGACACGGCCCAAACUCCUACGGGAGGCAGCAGUGGGGAAUAUUGCACAAUGGGCGAAAGCCUGAUGCAGCCGACGCCGCGUGAGCGAAGAAGUAUUUCGGUAUGUAAAGCUCUAUCAGCAGGGAAGAUAAUGACGGUACCUGACUAAGAAGCACCGGCUAAAUACGUGCCAGCAGCCGC